rnacentral:misc_RNA from 1 species
GUAUUGAUUGCGUGUGACCGCAAAAAUAACAUUCUACACUGUAUCAAGUUUUGUGUGAAAACGUGAGCCCUCCUGCAAAGGGGACCCACGCGGUGAUGCACAAGGGGUGAAAUGGAUGUGUGAGAGUGCUCAGGCGUGCACGACCUUUUGAAAGGUCAGCGACAGCCCGGGCACCUCCGUUGUAUGAUAAUGAUCCUUCCGCAGGUUCACCUACGGAAA